rnacentral:rRNA from 1 species
CACGGGGGGAACGCGAAGAACCUUACCAAAUCUUGACAUCCUCUGACAGCCAUAGAGAUAUGGUUUCCCUUCGGGGCAGAGUGACAGGUGGUGCAUGGUUGUCGUCAGCUCGUGUCGUGAGAUGUUGGGUUAAGUCCCGCAACGAGCGCAACCCUUAAGUUUAGUUGCCAUCAUUAAGUUGGGCACUCUAGACUGACUGCCGGUGACAAACCGGAGGAAGGUGGGGACGACGUCAAAUCAUCAUGCCCCUUAUGAUUUGGGCUACACACGUGCUACAAUGGACAGGUUACAAAGGGCAGCGACGCCGCGAGGCCAAGCGAAUCCCAUAAAACUGUUCUCAGUUCGGAUUGGAGUCUGCAACUCGACUCCAUGAAGCUGGAAUCGCUAGUAAUCGUAGAUCAGCAUGCUGCGGUGAAUACGUUCCCGGGUCUUGUACACACCG